UACGUAGGGUGCGAGCGUUAAUCGGAAUUACUGGGCGUAAAGCGUGCGCAGGCGGUUUCGUAAGACAGGCGUGAAAUCCCCGGGCUCAAACUGGGAACUGCGCUUGUGACUGCGAGGCUAGAGUGUGUCAGAGGGAGGUGGAAUUCCACGUGUAGCAGUGAAAUGCGUAGAGAUGUGGAGGAACACCGAUGGCGAAGGCAGCCUCCUGGGAUAACACUGACGCUCAUGCACGAAAGCGUGGGGAGCAAACAGG
rnacentral:rRNA from 1 species